GAGAAGAAGGCACGUCCUUCAAAGAUAGAGCUUGCGUGAGAAGCAGGGGUUUCCUGGUUUCUGUAGGGGAGAAUGGAAGAUCUGGUGUCCUGUGUGAUUGAUGGGGAGAUGCCUGUGCAAUACUAACCAGAUGGGAGGGACUGCUAGAGCUAAGACUACAGUAGGUCAUUGAAUGGAAGGAACUGUUUGGGUAGGGUAUCCAAAGACAGCUGGCCAAUAUCUGGCCAAUGUUGCAUGAAAGUAAACUAUUUCUAUUACAUUUUUCCCCCUUAAGCGUCUAAACAACACUGUGCUAUCUGACAGUGAACAUACUGUAAAUGAAUCACUUUGAGAGAAUGCUGUGAAUCCCUUGCUACACAUUUUGCCAUUAUGUAAAUAGGGAGCGUUUGAAAUAUCCUUGAUGUUGAAAUGUCCUGCCACAAGUGUUUUUAUAAACAAUACCUAUGUGUAUGUAUUUCCCUUAGAAUCUAGUGGCCCCUAUAGCUUCAUCCACUCAAAGGCAAAAGUAAAAACUGUUGCCUCAUUCACAUUUUUUACUGUCACUUGAUUAACCGUUUCUGUAUUCAUGGCUAUAGAGAUAAGCAAAUAAGCUUCCUCUCUGGCCUCCCUCUUGGCAUGGUGCCACCAACUCAAACACACUCAGCGGGACAUAAAGCAUGGCAUGUGGUUACGCUUCACAUUUUCCAUACUCUUACUGGAAAUGAAUCAUCUCUGAAUAAUGCUUUGAAAAUGAGGCCCAUUCAACAGUGCCGGCAACAGACAACGUCAGAGGAACGAUACUCUUUGUCUGGAUGACUUAGACAGGUUACAUACUGUAUACCACCCACCCACACAGAGCACUAUAAUGGAACGACUCAAGGGUGUUUUAUCACCCAAAGCUGCACAGCACCAAGACUCUAACUCACCUUGGCACAUGUCAAAGCCUAUUGGAGAGAAAGCGGUGACUGUGUUUCAAAAGACGAGGUCCUCCUUUCCAAGCAGCCAGUCAGGAGAUGUGCCCUGUGCUAAACAUAAGAAGCUCUAGCAGGCCUCCAGUCUCUCCAAGUGACUACAGAACUUACAACGGCUGGAUGACCAAGUGAAUUCAGUGAGUGCAGAUGUGAAUCUCUGCAGUGUUGUAGCAAGCACAUAACACUGUGAUAACCUGGGGAGAAAUCAUGUAAACCGACUGACUGUAUGAGGUGCCGAGAUACAGAGUGAAAUACAGAGUAACAGUAGAACCAAACUGAACCAUCACUGGCAUGUUCAUGGAUCACUCAAAAUUGUCUCCCACUGCUGACAAGUGUUUGGCAGUCAAGUUAGCUUUGAUUCACUGUGAAAGCCCAUUUGUGUGGGACUGUAUUAUGUAAAGACAGUAAAAGAGAGAUACAUUGUCUGUAUGAGGGAGCCAAAGGUUUAAGGAUCUGCUAAUAUUGCUCUUGUAUUAGACAAGAGCUAUUAUUACCCAGCUGAAUCACAUAGCCUCCUGUUGAAUAAUCAUUCAGCACUUUGCUUUGUGUUAUGUGUAUUAUUUGUAUUAUUAUUUUAAGUCUCUGUAGCUGCAGAAUAAUGCUUACACCCACACUACGUGUUUCCAGUUAUACAACAAGUUAAGUUGCUGGUCACACGCAACAUGAUUAUAUCUUCUAUUUUAUUACUGCAGAAUCCAAAGAAUGUAGUAGGCACAUGACUAUUGUGGUGGUCAACCAAGAAAAAAGGGGUGUGAGCAGAUCUGGGUCCAGAUUUACUGGGCUUUUGCACCUGUUCAACCUUUCUAUGAUAUUAUUUCUAGAAUCAAUAAAAAUAAAUAAAAGUACAAUUAAGGAUGAAAG
rnacentral:lncRNA from 1 species